rnacentral:rRNA from 1 species
GAUGAACGCUGGCGGCGUGCCUAAUACAUGCAAGUCGAGCGAACAGACGAGAGUGCUUGCACUCUCUGACGUUAGCGGCGGACGGGUGAGUAACACGUGGGUAACCUACCUAUAAGACUGGGAUAACUUCGGGAAACCGGAGCUAAUACCGGAUAAUAUUUAGCUUCGCAUGAAGCAAUAGUGAAAGACGGUUCUGCUGUCACUUAUAGAUGGACCCGCGGUGUAUUAGCUAGUUGGUGAGGUAACGGCUCACCAAGGCAACGAUACAUAGCCGACCUGAGAGGGUGAUCGGCCACACUGGGACUGAGACACGGCCCAGACUCCUACGGGAGGCAGCAGUAGGGAAUCUUCCGCAAUGGACGAAAGUCUGACGGAGCAAUGCCGCGUGAGUGAAGAAGGUUUUCGGAUCGUAAAACUCUGUUGUAAGGGAAGAACAAGUACGUUAGUAACUGAACGUACCUUGACGGUACCUUACCAGAAAGCCACGGCCAACUACGUG